UACAUGUGGGGCAAGCGUUGUUCGGAAUUACUGGGCGUAAAGCGUGCGUAGACGGUUAUUUAAGUCGGGUGUGAAAGCCCCGGGCUCAACCUGGGAAUUGCAUUCGAGACUGAAUAGCUAGGGUACGGUAGAGGGAAGCGGAAUUUCCGGUGUAGCGGUGAAAUGCGCAGAUAUCAGGAGGAACACCGGUGGCGAAGGCGGGUCUCUGGGCAACAACUGACGCUGAGGAGCGAAAGCGUGGGGAGCGAACAGG
rnacentral:rRNA from 1 species